CUACUGACACUCGUACACCAAUGGUAAUAAUUAAGAUUCGUUUGGGCGUAUACCGAUGUCCAUAGAGAGAACACAUACUUGUCUAAGUGCAAAUCCGACACGUGGUUUCCUCAAACCCGUCAGCGACGGAACUCCUCAUCGUCAACGACCGAAAAAGGGGUCAAUUUAGGUUUGAGGCACUUCUCCUUUUCCAAUCCACAUGGACCCAAACCCAAAUCCUCUUCAUUUCUGACGCGGUUUUGUCCCUCUGCAACUCAAUCUAUCCCUUCCAAAGAGUUGCACCAAUCGAAAACCAACCCAAUCCAUGUCUAAAUCACCUCAAACGACAUUGUCUUUUUUGCUAUCGGCUUUUGUGUUGUUAUGCUUUCUAGGAUUAGGGUUUGGUUCAAUUUAUGCGGAAGCUUUGAAGUUGCCUUUUAGGGUUAAUGAUGUGCUUCCGGUCUUGCCACAUCAGAUAUCAUGGCCUGUACUGAACAAUUUUCAUGG
rnacentral:misc_RNA from 1 species